CUCCGAGCAGUUAAGCCAAUAGGGUUUCUUUCCUCUCCAGGGUCCAGUGCGCAAUGGCUGCAGAGGACAGCCUCCUGGUAAUACAUGACCUGCUGCUUGUAUGGUUUCCCCUAAGCAACUCUCAAGAGCUUU